CACCUGCCCGCGGCCGCCCGCAGUCGCCGGUGCCGCGGGACAGGCGGUAGGGCGGGCCAUGAAGGGGCCGCGGGCGCUCGCGAUGUUCGGGGCGGGCAGGUACAGCAUCCCGCGGCCCGUCACCAGGAACCUGGAGGACCUGGACUCGGUGCAGAGCGUCCUGUUGCACAGUGACCUUGAGCCUGAAUGGUUGGAUGGUGUGCAGAAAAAUGGGGAAUUAUUUUACUUAGAACUGAGUGAAAGUGAAGAAGAAGCUCUGCUUCAGAACAGCUGUCCAGAAAUGCCAGCAGUGAAUCAUGUCAGGUUCCGUGAAAAUGAAGCUGAAGUUAUUCAGGAGGGAUCACGGAAAGACAGAAAGUAUGAACUGAAGAAAUUGACCAAAAUAUUAAAAAAGAAGAAUCUUUUACCAAAGCAUUCUGCUAAGAAAGGCGGUGGAAGCUGUAAUGUGCACUCUGCUGGUCCUACUUCCAUAUUGAAACACCAGUCCACUCAGAAAAUGGGUGUCAUUGUUCAGCAGAAGUACAAAGAUGUAUAUGUUUAUGUAAAUCCCAGAAAACUGUACAGUGCUGGAGAAGAUGAACAGCACAAGCUGCUGGAGGCCUUAGUAGGGAUUGUCCAUCAGUCUUCAUGGAGCAGCAGAAGAGCAGAAAAACAAGGCAAGAAGGAUAAAGUCAUGAGAGGCAUCGGUGAAGAGAAGCUUGUAGUACAUGGCUUGGUGCCAGGUAGUUCAGCAAUGAAAACGGGUCAAAUCUUGAUUGGAGAUGCUCUGGUUGCUGUAAACGAUGUUGAUGUGAAUUCUGAAAACAUAGAAAGGGUUUUGUCUUGCAUUCCAGGUCCUAUGCAGGUUAAACUUACAUUUGAAACAUCAAUGUUUGAGCCUGAAGGAACUUCUCAGCAAAGGUAUAAACAGACACAGUCGAGUAUGAACAAUCUGGUUCGGCUCCUGUGGGGAGAAGACAGUACGGACCUUCAACAAGCUAUACAAGACCUGCCUCAUAUUGUCAUGUUCCUCACACUGAAACUGGACUCUGAAACAUCGAAGGAUGAGCAAGAAAUUCUUUAUCAGUACCCCAAAUCAGAAGCAUCCCAAAAACUGAAAAGUAUAAGAGGAAUAUUUCUCACGCUGUCUGACAUACUGGAAAGUGUUAGUGGUACCCAGAUUAUCAGUUCCUCCCUUUUCUUAUGCGAAAAACUGGUUCAAGUUGUUUACUGGAAAGAGUCUGACAAGCUGCUUGUGAUCGGCCUUCCUGAAGAAAAUGUGCCACUUGCUCAGCUGAAGAACAUGAUUGAAGACGUUGUCAGGACCUUGAAAUUUAUGUAUAGCUCUUUAGACAGUGCUUUUUGCCAGGUGGAAAAUGUUUCUCGCCUGGAUCAUUUUUUCAACCUGUUCUUCCAGCGUGCGCUUCAGCCUGCAAGACUCAACCCCAGUGCCAGCCCCAGCACACAGCACUAUGAAACCUGCAGCGCCUUGUUCUUAGACAACCUCCCGGGCCUGCGCUGGCUGACACUGCCUCAGGAGAUCAAGAUGGAAAUUGACACAGUACUGAGUGACCUGGAAGCAGCUGAUUUUGCAGAGCUGUCUGAAGAUUAUUACAAUAUGAGAAGAUUAUAUAUGAUUAUGGGCUCUUGUCUCUUCUACAAGGGUUACUUGAUUGGUAAUCACUUGCCGAAGGAAGAUCUUCUUGAUAUAGGUUUCUAUUGUCGGCACUAUUGUCUGUUACCCUUGGCAGCGGAGCAGAAGGUGGGGCAGUUAGUGAUCUGGCGGGAAGUAUUUCCACAUCAUCACAUCCAGCCCUGCGAAGCUCCGAGUUUCACAGGAUACAGGGAACCUGAAGCAAGAUACUUCUUACUGAUAGUUGGCUUGAGACACUUUAUGCUGUGUGUGCUGCUGGAGGCAGGAGGCUGUGCAUCCAAAGCUAUCGGGAAUCCAGGACCAGACUGUAUCUAUGUAGAUCAGGUCAAAGCCACUAUCCUUCAGCUGGAAGGAACAGAGGCCGGCAUCGAGGAAAGGCUCAAUUCUCCUUCCAUCCCACCUCUGUCUUGUGCUGACUGGUUCCUUCCUGCCACGUGUGACAAACUGGACAGCUCAACUGCCUCACCCAUCCUCAGUAAGCUACAAAAUACUUCCAAAUCAGUAAGCACUCCAGCGAGCAAAAGGACCCUGUUUGGCGACUCUUCCUUGAUGACACGUAAGCCAAGUCCUACGAGGUACAGUGGAGGACCCGACCAUGGUAGCGAAGGUCCUGCGGAAGAUGAAAGCAGUAAUCCACAAUCUGUAGUGGAUCAGGUCACUAGAAAAAAACAUACCCUACCAAAUCCAUUUAAUUUAGGAAACCUCAGAAAGAACCUUUCAGAUAAAGAUACAGAACUUCUUAAUGCUAUCAAGUUGACAUCUGGUCCUGAGAAUACCCUCUUCCACUAUCUAUCUUUGGAAACAAUGCAAGGAAUCUUCAUCACUCCAACUCACAAAGAAGUAGCACAGCUUGGUGGGUCCAUCCACCCUCAGUUAAUUGCGAAUUUCCAUCGUUGCUGUCUGUCAAUUCGUGCCAUUUUUCAGCAAUCCAUGAUGAAAGAAUUGUUUUACAGAAACAGAAGAAAGCAGGCAAUGUGAUUUCAGAAUUUGCUGAAGACCUAGAUGUAGUAACUGAACACGGAGUUUUGUUUGAGUGCUCUCCUGAUAACUGGACUGAUCAGAAGAAACCACCACCAACAAUGAAUUACUGGGUUGUGGGGAGACUCAUUCUACAUCCCAAACCUCAGGAGUGUUAUGUCUGCUUUCAUGACUCAGUCACAGAAGCUGCUGUUGAACUGGCCUUUAAACUGUCCUUUGGCUUAGCCACAUAGAUGAGCAGCCAGAACAUUCAGCCACCCUGUACGGUGUUGUCACCUCCUUAAAGCACUUCAGGACAAAGCCCCAUGAACUCAGCUGUGGUGCCCACCCAUGGCCUAUGUUUGAAAUGCUUUUUAACAAACAAAAAAAAUCUACCUUGUGGUGUGACGCAGGUAAAACUUCAGCGAUUAUUCUCAUGACCUCAUCAAUUGAAUACUUUAAAAAAUUUCAGAAAACCAAAGUUCUUUUUUAUAUACUGUUGAAUAAUUUAUCCCCAUCAUAACUUUAUUAUAUGAAAACAUCACAUAAUUUGUACAUUCACUGCUGUUCAGUGUGUAAUAUUCACUGUAAAAUGAUAAACUGAUAUCCUCAGAGUGCUCUCUGAAUAUCUGGCUAUUGGUGAUGGAGGAGGAAAAAUAAGUUUUCCAAUUAAUUAAAAUUUUGCGCCUCUAUGAACAUGAAGAAUACUGAAUGUUUUCCGUAACACUCUGUUAAUCAAAACAGAAAUAAAUAUUUUAGCCAAUUCAUGGCACUUAGCCACACAAAACUAAUGGCUUAUCAUUUCUGUUAGUAUGGUAUCCUGCAUACUCGAGUACUAUAAUGUGGUUGAUGUUUUACUUGGCUUCAUGAGUUCUAAUUGUAAAUAAUACUUAUAUUUGUUAAAUAAUACUUACAUUUGUUAAAACGAAAUUUUGAAGGCCCAAAAGAAGAUGGCGGAUAGCAAGAUGAUGGUUUUAAGACAAACGCACGGACUCAGCUAAUUUUAUAUCAUAUUCAUAAUUUCAUAAUAAAAAAAUGUGUAUAUCUCAAA